rnacentral:lncRNA from 1 species
CUAAUUUCCUCUUCAGGUCAGGUUGCUUCAGAGGUUUCUGAGUUCCAAGUUGGAGGUCCUUUCUUGAUUUCUAGAUCUCCAGUGCCAAAACUCAGCUUUGGCUUAAACGGUAGCUACUGUUUGGAGGACGCAGAGCUCCUCUGCCGAGGCUGAAACAUGGAUUAUUUUUGUCCUUCUUUGUGAGUACUUGAGGGAUAGUUGGAUGUGGAGCUGCGAGGCCUUUGAACCAUAUUUAGAUUUUUAAUCUGUUUAAUGUCAGGCUGAGAGCAGCGCCAUCCCCCUCUGUUCUGUUUGUCGGUUUCUCUGUUGACGUAUUUAGAUGCCAGGAUUGUGGGCUUGUGUGGGCUGAGACAGUGGGAUUUCGUUGUGGGUCGAGCCAUUGUCAACAACAAAAAAAUCCGUUCCUUGGCUGGUGGUGGUGGCUCAUGCCUGUAAUCCCAGCACUUUGGGAGGCCAAGGCAGGUGGAUCUUCUGAGGUCAGGAGUUCAAGACCAGCCUGGCCCACAGGGCGAAACUCCAUCUCUACUAAAAUAUAAAAAAUUAGCCAGGCAUGGUAGCAGGUGCCUGCAAUCCCAGCUGCUCGGGAGGCUGAGGCAGGAGAAUCACUUGAACCUGGGAGGCAGAGGUUGCAGUGAGCUGAGAUCGCGCCACCGCACUCCACCCUGGGCGACACAGCGAGACUCUGUCUCAGAAAAAGAAACCUCCCUUGAAUUGAAACUUCGAUAUGAAGGUUGCAACCCUUCCUUUUUGUUGGUGUGGCUUGGCAGAUCUUUGUGCUCCUGGUUGUAUCUCCUGAGUCGCUUGUUUCAAAACUGUCUUUGGUCGGCACCGUGUUUUCAGAUUAAAGACGUUAAGCACCCGUCCAUCUUCGUUCUCAGCUUUUCCUUCCAUCGUCUUAUUUUGUUUUUCCAUCUGUGUGCUCCCAACUCCGGAUUGCUUCCCCCGGUGUGUGUUUUCUGAAGCUCUGUACCGCUUUGCGGCUCUGCCAGUGGUUCUUUUCUAGUUUUGAAUAACACGUUUAAGGCCGUGAUUGAAUAGCGGUUAGUAUUCUGCGUUGUGAAGAACACGUUUAAACACGCCGUUUCUCGCGCUCUCAACGUCCGAAGUGAAAUCGCAUCUGCCCCCUUCUGUGAAAAUUGAGCCUGUAUA